UACAGAGGUCUCAAGCGUUGUUCGGAUUCAUUGGGCGUAAAGGGUGCGUAGGCGGUGUCGUAAGUCGGAUGUGAAAUCCCGGGGCUUAACUUCGGAACUGCAUUCGAUACUGCGAUACUCGAGGACUCGAGAGGAGAUUGGAAUUCACGGUGUAGCAGUGAAAUGCGUAGAUAUCGUGAGGAAGACCAGUGGCGAAGGCGAGUCUCUGGACAGCAACUGACGCUGAGGAGCGAAAGCGUGGGGAGCAAACAGG
rnacentral:rRNA from 1 species